rnacentral:rRNA from 1 species
GACGAACGCUGGCGGCGUGCUUAACACAUGCAAGUCGAACGGAAAGGCCCUGCUUUUGUGGGGUGCUCGAGUGGCGAACGGGUGAGUAACACGUGAGUAACCUGCCCUUGACUUUGGGAUAACUUCAGGAAACUGGGGCUAAUACCGGAUAGGAGCUCCUGCUGCAUGGUGGGGGUUGGAAAGUUUCGGCGGUUGGGGAUGGACUCGCGGCUUAUCAGCUUGUUGGUGGGGUAGUGGCUUACCAAGGCUUUGACGGGUAGCCGGCCUGAGAGGGUGACCGGCGACAUUGGGACUGAGAGACGGCCCAGACUCCUACGGGAGGCAGCAGUGGGGAAUAUGGCACAAUGGGCGGAAGCCUGAUGCAGCAGCGCCGCGUGCGGGAUGACGGCCUUCGGGUUGUAAACCGCUUUCGCCUGUGACGAAGCGUGAGUGACGGUAAUGGGUAAAGAAGCACCGGCUAACUACGUG